rfam:Podiceps cristatus contig122862, whole genome shotgun sequence.
UCACAGGUCCUAUUAGGACCACCUUCAUACACUGUAAAAAUAAG